AAGCUCCGGCGACUGCUCUUUGCUCCAAGUAAUUUUUGGUGAUUUUUAAAGUAAUUUUUCCGGUGGAGUCCUAGUGGCGCUAUACUCUCGGACAGGUUAGCCUGUCUCUCCCGCUAGAUUGAUGAGAUCAGGCAUC
ensembl:misc_RNA